UACGUAGGGCGCAAGCGUUGUCCGGAAUUAUUGGGCGUAAAGGGCUCGUAGGCGGCUUGUCGCGUCGAUUGUGAAAGCCCGGGGCUUAACUCCGGGUCUGCAGUCGAUACGGGCAGGCUAGAGUGUGGUAGGGGAGAUCGGAAUUCCUGGUGUAGCGGUGAAAUGCGCAGAUAUCAGGAGGAACACCGGUGGCGAAGGCGGAUCUCUGGGCCAUUACUGACGCUGAGGAGCGAAAGCGUGGGGAGCGAACAGG
rnacentral:rRNA from 1 species